UGCAGUCGAACGAAGUAGCAAUACUUAGUGGCAGACGGGUGAGUAACAUGUGGGUAUCUACCCUUUGGCCUGGAAUAACACGAGGAAACUUGUGCUAAUACCGGAUAAGUCUUUACGGAGAAAGCUUUAUGCACCAUUGGAUGAGCCCGCACUUGAUUAGUUUGUUGGUAGGGUAAUGGCCUACCAAGACUAUGAUCAAUAGCUGAUUUGAGAGGAUGAUCAGCCACAUUGGGACUGAGACACGGCCCAAACUCCUACGGGAGGCAGCAGUGGGGAAUCUUGCACAAUGGAGGAAACUCUGAUGCAGCGAUGCCGCGUGAGUGAAGAAGGCCUUUGGGUUGUAAAGCUCUUUCGUCGGGGAAGAAAAUGACUGUACCCGAAUAAGAAGGUCCGGCUAACUUCGUGCCAGCAGCCGCGGUAAUACGAAGGGACCUAGCGUAGUUCGGAAUUACUGGGCUUAAAGAGUUCGUAGGUGGUUGAAAAAGUUGGUGGUGAAAUCCCAGAGCUUAACUCUGGAACUGCCAUCAAAACUUUUCAGCUAGAGUAUGAUAGAGGAAAGCAGAAUUUCUAG
rnacentral:rRNA from 1 species